rnacentral:rRNA from 1 species
UACGGAGGAUGCAAGCGUUAUCCGGAUUUAUUGGGUUUAAAGGGUGCGCAGGUUGUUUGAUAAGUCGGUGGUGAAAGUCUGUCGCUUAACGGUAGGAUUGCCAUUGAUACUGUUGGACUUGAAUAUGGAUGAGGUAGGCGGAAUGUGUAGUGUAGCGGUGAAAUGCAUAGAUAUUACACAGAACACCGAUUGCGAAGGCAGCUUACUAAUCCAUCAUUGACGCUGAGGCACGAAAGCGUGGGGAUCAAACAGGA